rfam:Eutrema salsugineum unplaced genomic scaffold scaffold_21, whole genome shotgun sequence.
AACCCAUGGUGUGGGCAUUGGUUUGUGUAGCUCCUGAAUCUCUUAUAUGCUUCACCAAAACUCUCAUUGCUGUGCUCAGUGAAGCUAGAGGUUUGGUUUCUCAGUUU